UGUGUACUCCCUCGGUUCGGAAUUACUCGUCCAAGAAAUCAAUGUAUCUAGAUGUAUUUUAGUUGUAGAUACAUCCAUUUUUGUGACAAGUAAUUCCGAACGGAGGGAGUAGGAA
rfam:Triticum aestivum genome assembly, contig: Triticum_aestivum_CS42_TGACv1_scaffold_577059_7BL